rnacentral:RNase_P_RNA from 1 species
CCAGAUCACUAAACGGCCGCUGGUGUGGGCGAGUAAAAUCGCGCCAUGCGAGAGGAAAGUCCGGGCAGUAUAGAGUAACGACAGUCGCUAACGGCGACCGCGCGCGAGCGUAGGGAAAGUGCCACAGAAACGAAACUACCUCUUAACGGAGGAAAAGGUGAAACGAGUGCGGUAAGAGCGCACAGCGAAUCGCGGUGACGCGAAACGGAGGUAAACCCUGUCGACUGCAAGGAGGUUGGAUAAUUGGCUGCUCGUCAACCAACCGCUAAAAUCCGCUAGAUAUGUUCGGCAACGGGCAUAGUAGAUAGAUGGUAGUUCACGACAAAACCCGGCUUAUCGGUGAUCUGGCAAA